rnacentral:rRNA from 1 species
UUGAACGCUGGCGGUAUGCUUAACACAUGCAAGUCGAACGGGGGUAGUAAUACCCUAGUGGCGCACGGGUGCGUAACGCGUGGGAAUCUGCCCUUCGGUUCGGAAUAACAGUUAGAAAUGACUGCUAAUACCGGAUGAUGACGUAAGUCCAAAGAUUUAUCGCCGAAGGAUGAGCCCGCGUAAGAUUAGCUUGUUGGUGAGGUAAAGGCUCACCAAGGCUACGAUCUUUAGCUGGUCUGAGAGGAUGAUCAGCCACACUGGGACUGAGACACGGCCCAGACUCCUACGGGAGGCAGCAGUGGGGAAUAUUGGACAAUGGGGGAAACCCUGAUCCAGCAAUGCCGCGUGAGUGAUGAAGGCCUUAGGGUUGUAAAGCUCUUUUACCCGGGAUGAUAAUGACAGUACCGGGAGAAUAAGCUCCGGCUAACUCCGU